GAAGACGGGAGGUAGUUGCCCUUGCGGGCCCGGAAUUAGGACGGUCUGCAGGAGACAAGCGGCAGUGGAGACAGAGUCAGGUCUUUGAUUUGAGAGAUACUGGAGGAGGCAGAACAUGGAGAAAUCGUAGGCUGGCUUUUCAAGGAGGAUGCUGGCAAGGUACAGGGCACCUGCGGCGGGGCCCGAGGCUCCCCGUGAAGGAAUGGACGGGCGAUCAAACCCAAAGCUGAGCCAAGAGCGGACAAUAGCUGAACAUCCUGUUUGCAGGAGGAAAGGGAAGCUGGAAGCAGCAGGUCCUCUGGGACUCGGGGAGCUUGAAAGGACCCGGCAGGGGGGACGGAGGAGGCCCCUUUUCUCUGCAACAGCCGACUGCAAGGAAACAUUGCACGCACUUGGUCUCUCAACAAUUGGUGAACUUUCUGCCUUACAACAGUCCUGGUCAGCUGUCCAAGUCUCACGGUGGCAAAAGCGCCCCAAGAAUGUUGUCAUCUCGGCAUCCGAUGGAAGAAGGGGGACAAUCCCAGCUCCCCCCCCCAAACACACACGCACACACAGGUCUUCGGAGCCUCCUGCAGUUCUCGGAACGGAUACAGGGAAGUUUUGGGGGGCAAGGCAAAGUUGCCCGCCUUGCAGAAACAUCUCGGGUGAGCCCCGGGGCCAUCACAGCAAGGGGGUCCUCGGGAAAUACAAGGCCACACGGCCAGACGGGGAUUAG
rnacentral:lncRNA from 1 species